rnacentral:sRNA from 1 species
ACCACCCCCAACCCCCUCCUCUAAAGAGGAGGGGGCUUUAGGAUCAGCGCUUUAACUCCCCCUCCUCUUCAGAGGAGGGGGUCGGGGGGUGG